GCAGAGCAUCCUACGGGAGGCAGCAGUGGGGAAUAUUGCACAAUGGGCGCAAGCCUGAUGCAGCCAUGCCGCGUGUAUGAAGAAGGCCUUCGGGUUGUAAAGUACUUUCAGCAGUGAGGAAGGUGGGUAUGUUAAUAGCAUACUCAUUUGACGUUAGCUGCAGAAGAAGCACCGGCUAACUCCGUGCCAGCAGCCGCGGUAAUACGGAGGGUGCGAGCGUUAAUCGGAAUUACUGGGCGUAAAGCGCAUGCAGGUGGUUUGUUAAGUCAGAUGUGAAAGCCCGGGGCUCAACCUCGGAAUUGCAUUUGAAACUGGCAAACUAGAGUACUGUAGAGGGGGUAGAAUUUCAGGUGUAGCGGUGAAAAUGCGUAGAGAUCUGAAGGAAUACCGGUGGCGAAGGCGGCCCCCUGGACAGAUACUGACACUCAGAUGCGAAAGCGUGGGGAGCAAACAGGAUUAUAUACCCUGGUAA
rnacentral:rRNA from 1 species